rnacentral:lncRNA from 1 species
CAUUUUUUUUAUCAAAUGUUCAGUUGCUAUCUUUAGUUGCAGUUAAUGGACCUCACACUAAUCUCUGGGUGCUUCGUAUAACUUUGCUAAAGCUCUCCGGUAAAUAUGGUUCUCUUGUAUUUUUGGGUACUUCUUGUAAAUGCACUUUUAUAUAUAGGCUUUAUGUCUUUGUUUGGGCCCUCUGUUUUGGGUUUUGCUGUA